UAUGUCGUGCACUGUCAUUUGUCUUGCAGGUUCUUAUGACCAGAACACUCUUAGGGGGGCCCCGUGGCAAGUGCAGUCACAAGGCGCUAACGCUGACAAAUGUACGGGCAGCCAACUCCAACUAGCUAGUAUGGCUAAUCAAGAGCCUUCGUGCAGCACGUGGAAUCGGGCAGCACCCAUGUACCUGCCAUCGACGUCGUACACAGGUUAUUACGCUGGCGGUGA